rnacentral:rRNA from 1 species
UACGUAGGGGGCUAGCGUUGUCCGGAUUUAUUGGGCGUAAAGAGCGUGUAGGCGGCCAGGUAGGUCUGGUGUGAAAACUCGAGGCUUAACCUCGAGAUGUCAUCGGAAACCAUUUGGCUAGAGUCCGGAAGAGGAGAGUGGAAUUCCCGGUGUAGCGGUGAAAUGCGCAGAUAUCGGGAAGAACACCCGUGGCGAAGGCGGCUCUCUGGGACGGUACUGACGCUGAGACGCGAAAGCGUGGGGAGCGAACAGG